UGAAACCACAGCGCCAUUUUGUAGGAACUA
rnacentral:piRNA from 1 species